rnacentral:lncRNA from 1 species
GCCAGACAAGCAGAGGCAACCGCAGUGUCCCCCGAGUCUCCAGGCCAGUGGACGGCUGCUCUCCUCAGCAUGUCCCUGCAUUUAGGCAAGGAAGUGUAUGAUAUCUGCAAAACCCCACUGCAGGACAAUCGAAACCACCUGUUUAUCCGGGAAGAUACUGGUCUCCGUGGUCAGGCCAUCUUUCAGUCCAGACUUACCUUUAGACCUUACUGUAGAGACAGUGCCACAUAUAAGAAGAUGACCCUUUCAUUUGGGAACAGAAGUUCAAAGACGCAGAUUAGAAUCCUCCCGAUGGCUGAUCAUGAUCCUGAGUGGCUAUGCCCAGAUCUGAUCAAGAUGCAGAGAAAAGAACUGAGGGUAUCUACUCCCCGGAAAGUCCGUCUGCGGAGGAAGAGCAGGAGGCAGAAGCGGCAGCAGCGUCCAGGUCGGAGUUCCACCUUCCAGAAGCCUAACCUUGUUGUUGAGGAAGAGGAGGAGGUGGAGGGAGAAGAUGAGGAAGGCAAGG